AUCGAGGAAGCCGAAAAUCGUAAGAGUAGGCA
rfam:Aquimarina spongiae strain DSM 22623 genome assembly, contig: Ga0070582_106